rnacentral:rRNA from 1 species
UACAGAGGUCCCGAGCGUUGUUCGGAUUUAUUGGGCGUAAAGGGUGCGUAGGCGGCAAAGUAAGUUGGAUGUGAAAUCCUGGGGCUCAACCGCAGAAUUGCAUUCAAUACUGCUUAGCUAGAGAGCUGUAGAGGAGACUGGAAUUUACGGUGUAGCAGUGAAAUGCGUAGAUAUCGUAAGGAACGCCAGUGGCGAAAGCGAGUCUCUGGGCAGCAUCUGACACUGAGGCACGAAAGCCAGGGGAGCAAACGGG